CGCGCCGACCCGCUCAAUCGUGAUCUCACGAACCGGGGACCCAGUGCAACACCGGGGUGAAUCCGCGCGCCGAGGCCCGCGGUAGGGCCUACUUCCCGCCCGAAUCCGUCAGCUAACCCGGUAGGCGGCCACGGAAGGAGUU
rnacentral:sRNA from 2 species